CGGUCGUUAGCUCAGUUGGAUAGAGCACAAGUUUCCGGUGCUUGGUGUCGCGGGUUCGAAUCCUGUACGACCGG
rnacentral:tRNA from 1 species